GUAGGGAAUAUUGCACAAUGGGGGAAACCCUGAUGCAGCGACGCCGCGUGAGUGAUGAAGGCCUUCGGGUCGUAAAGCUCUGUCGUAUGGGACUAACACAAUGAAGGUACCAUGCAAGAAAGGAUCGGCUAACUUCGUGCCAGCAGCCGCGGUAAGACGAGGGAUCCUAGCGUUGUUCGGAAUCAUUGGGCGUAAAGCGGGUGUAGGCGGAUUUAUAAGUCAGGUGUGAAAUCCCAGGGCUCAACCCUGGAAGUGCACUUGAUACUGUAAAUCUUGAGUGUGGUAGAGGGUACUGGAAUUGUUGGUGUAGUGGUGAAAUACGUAGAUAUCAACAGGAAUACCGGAGGCGAAGGCGAGUAACUGGGCCAACACUGACGCUGAGACCCGAAAGCGUGGGGAUCAAACAGGAUUAGAAACCCCGGUAGUCC
rnacentral:rRNA from 1 species